rnacentral:rRNA from 1 species
CCCACGGGUGGCUGCAGUGAGGAAUUUUGCGCAAUGGCCGCAAGGCUGACGCAGCAACGCCGCGUGGGUGAAGAAGGCCUUCGGGUCGUAAAGCCCUGUCAGGUGGGAAGAACACCAUGGGGACGAACAAGCUUCAUGGCUGACGGUACCACCAGAGGAAGCACCGGCUAACUCCGUGCCAGCAGCCGCGGUAAUACGGAGGGUGCGAGCGUUAUUCGGAAUUACUGGGCGGAAAGCGCGUGCAGGCGGGUUGGCAAGUCUGAUGUGAAAGCCCCGGGCUUAACCUGGGAAGUGCCUUGGAAACUGCCGG